CACAGUGACACAGUGUCGGGGUUCAGAAGACGAGACGGACACUGAGAGGCAAAGCACAGUAGCGAUCAGCUCAGUGUCCGGUUUGCCGGUGUCGCAACACCAGUUAUACAAACUCUAGUUAACAGAUGCUUCUGAAUUCGUCACAUACAGCCGUUAUCUUGUUCGUUGAGCUUUGAAAAGGUGAAUGAUGAGUUCUUGAGGAUCACCACAAAGCCGUUGCAAUCGAAGUUCCUGGCCCAGCUGGACCACUUCUCAGAAGCUUCUCCAAAUAUUCCAAAACAGAGGAGUGAAGGGACAGAAGAUAAAGAACAUCCUGGCAAUAAAAGAUGCGUGUGACGACAUCAACAUCAGGAGGGAGUGUAUCCUCAAAAGCGUUGUUGUCUACCUCAGUGGGGAUCCAAACUCUCUCUUCAAGGAGUACCUUCCCUCUGCUGCUGAGGAUGCUGAGAAUGACACUACAGUUAUGGGCAUUUACACUUUCUGAAGAAAUGAGUUUGGUGAGCCUGACGACGUGGAGGUUGUCAUUGAAGGUGUGAAAGUCCUCUCCAAUGUGGAAAAUGUCAUACUGGCUUUCAUCUUACUGUUUGGGCUAAUCUAUGCUCUAGUUCUCAGUUACCCAGACAACCUGAAAUACACAUUUGAGUUUGUGCAGAAAAUCCUUAUGAAUCUGAAUGGACACAAGGUUAACACCAAAAUACAGCAACUGAAAAUCAAGCUGUUCAUGUAAAAGGAGACACAGGUGACAAAUGACAGUGGGACUGGGAAUUUGUUGUUGUUUUGUUUUGUUUUGUUUUUAUCUGAACUGAGCCUGGGGUCCGUUUCACAAAGCAGGUUUAGUGA